CGUGCCAUUUUGUGUCCCUCAGAAAAAAAAAGCUCUGUAAAUCUUAAUAAACCAUGAAACAAAUAAAAUAUUUUAUAAUUUAGUUUCCAUAAUAUGUCUCAAAAUAUAAGAAUGAAUUAAUUUCUGUUUCUUUUGUUUUUAAAGGAUUUUAAUCACAUUUUUGUGCAAAGCAUCUUGCAGACAUGUUGAAAAUGGCCUGUCCCUCCGUAGGAUUUUUCUACUUCUACUUGCUAUCGAGGCCAAAAAAGUCAAACUAUCAUAAAAAAACAUAUACUUCUAUAAAGCCUUAAGUGUCAGUUCAUUAGUCAUGAAUGGAUUUUAUUCUUAACAUGUGUCAAAUUUAAAAAAAAAUACAAUUUAGUCGGGUCCCUAUGUUCUCGUCAACCCUGUUACUUUUUAUGAAAACCCCUCUUUAAAGAUAAUGGACUGUUCCAAAAGUUGCAUCAGUUCCAGGAAGUGACAUCAUCUGCCUUUCAUGAAGUUGAUGGUAGAAGACAAGAUGCCUCUUUCUGCAGCUGAGAAACAGCGCAGAUACAGACAACGCAGAGAUGCUGAUCCUGAGACACGAGAAGCAUAUUUAGUAAAAGAGAGGGCAAAAUGGAGAAAGGACAGAGACACAGGGAAAAAGCGGUCAGUUAGUGAACUAAAUGACAGAGAAAGGAGAGCCAAGCGGCGGAACUGGAGAGCAGCACAAGUGAAAUGCAGAACAGCCAAAGCAGCAGGUGCAGCAAUCAUAGAUCAGUGCAUGACGCCACCUCUAAGUCCAGAUUAUUGGAAAAUGGUGUGUCAUGACAUAUGACAAGGAGAUCUACCCAGGAAUCAUCGUGGCAAAAGAUGAAGGAUAUGCCCAAGUGAAGUGCAUGCACUGUGUUGGCCCGAAUAGAUAUUUCUGGCCAGCCCGUGAGGACAGCAUCUGGUACAUAUUUGAUGACAUUUUAAGAUUGAUUCCUGCUCCUCUUAAUGUGACAGCACAGCAUGUAGAAAUACGGAAAGACAUCUGGUCAAAACUUGUUAGGUAAGGAAGACAGGAAUGUUACAUUAAGUGAUCAUUAGUGAUCAUUGACUUUUGUUUAUUCUGUUAAGGCCAAACAUGUUCAACAGUUAGCUUUUCCUUUUGCUCCGGUCCUGAGCGUCAGUACUUAAAACGUUGUUGUGGACGUAGUUGAGGACUAACGACUGUCUGCUGGGCGGGAAUGGUUAACAAAAGAAAUCACUGCAUCACCAUUCACCUUCAGGAUAGAAUCAGGAAAUGGCCACUCUGAAAUGUCGAUAUGGGUCUAAUCUUUAAACCCAAUUUCUCUAGACAUAAGAUUUUUCACCAGUUUACUUCCUCCAUGUUACAACACACUCGAUCUAUGAUCUGCAUUUUGUUUUUUAUACUUUUUUAUAGUGGCCUUUAGUAAGUGAUCGUUAGUGGUUUUUGCUUAUUCUGUUAAGGCCAAACAUGUUCAAUUGGUCAUUUAAUUGCAAUGUAAUGUUAAUGUUUUAAUAAAACAAUUGAUUUACAUUUA